UUGAAUCUAUAGGUUGUUCAAUGGUCUAAUAUUAACUAUGUUUAGAUUUAUGGUAAUUUUCAUUCUUUUACAGCCUUAAUAACCAAGGAAAGGUGUGCUUUGAUAAUCUUUUCUUUCUCUUCAGCAGGUUGGUAAUGUAGAAAGGAUACAUGUAUACUAUGCCCACGGACUAGAUAGCCCAACCUUUGUUCGCCGAUGUUAUUGGCUCCUAGAUAAGACCUUUGAACACAUUGUCCUUGUUCAUUAUCGUGAAACACAAGAGUUUCAGAAUUUUCCAUCCACAUCGUUGAACUCAAAUUCUGGUUCUGUCUCUAACCCAUCAACUCCGUGGCUUUUAUCGGAGGAACUUGAUUCCAAGGCUACUCAUGUUUAUUCUCUUGGUGAAAAUGAAUUGUCAGGUGAUACUGGCCGAACCUGUCAAAAAUAAAUGAGUCAUA